AAUGAACGUUGGCGGCGUGGAUUAGGCAUGCAAGUCGUACGGGCCGCAAGGCCAGUGGCGCAAGGGUGAGUAAGGCGACGGUAACCAACCCCAUGAUUGGGUAUAGCCGCGGGAAACUGCGGGUAAUCCCCAGCGAUGUCAGGCGGGGGCAUCUCGGCCUGACCAAAGCUCCGGCGUCGUGGGACGGGCUGUCGUGGUAUUAGCUAGUUGGCGGGGUAACGGCCCACCAAGGCUGUGAUGCCUACCGGGCGUGCGAGCGUGGCCCGGCACACUGGGACUGAGACACUGCCCAGACUCCUACGGGAGGCUGCAGUCGAGAAUCUUCGGCAAUGGGCGCAAGCCUGACCGAGCGACGCCGCGUGGAGGACGAAGGCCUUCGGGUUGUAAACUCCUGUCGAGGGGGAAGAAGGGGUAACACCUUGACUGAUCCCUGGAGGAAGCACGGGCUAAGUUCGUGCCAGCAGCCGCCGUAAAAC
rnacentral:rRNA from 1 species